CGGACCGGCGCACGGGUGAGUAACGCGUAUGCAACUUACCUAUCAGGAGGGGAUAACCCGGCGAAAGUCGGACUAAUACCGCAUGAAGCAGGGGCCCCGCAUGGGGAUAUUUGCUAAAGAUUCAUCGCUGAUAGAUAGGCAUGCGUUCCAUUAGGCAGUUGGCGGGGUAACGGCCCACCAAACCGACGAUGGAUAGGGGUUCUGAGAGGGUGAACGGCCACAUUGGGACUGAGACACGGCCCAAACUCCUACGGGAGGCAGCAG
rnacentral:rRNA from 1 species